CCCUUAGAUGUUCUGGGCCGCACGCGCGCUACACUGGCACUCUCAAUCAGAGCCUGGAUCUAACACUUUGGGGUAUUCUAUGAAGUGGUGUCGUGACUGGGAUUAACCCUUGCAAUUAUUGGUUACGAACGAGGAAUUCCUUGUAAUCGCGGUUUAUCAGCCCGCGUUGAAUGCGUCCCUGCCCUUUGUACACACCGCCCGUCGCUCCUACCGAUGGAUCGUCCGGUGAAGCUCAUGGAGGGGCGGUUGUCUCAGCUGCCGUCGAAGUGAAAUGGACCUCACGAUCUAGAGGAAGGAGAAGUCGUAACA
rnacentral:rRNA from 1 species